GGAGUAAAAGUCGUAACAAGGUCUCCGUAGGUGAACCUGCGGAGGGAUCAUUACAGAGUUCAUGCCCUAACGGGUAGAUCUCCCACCCUAUGUUAUCAUCACUUUGUUGCUUUGGCGGGCCGUCAGGCCUCGGCUUGGCUACCGGCUCUCGCUGGUAAGCGCCCGCCAGAGAACCCCAAACCCUGAAUAUCAGUGUCGUCUGAGUACUAUAUAAUAGUUAAAACUUUCAACAACGGAUCUCUUGGUUCUG
rnacentral:misc_RNA from 1 species